rnacentral:misc_RNA from 1 species
AAGUCGUAACAAGGUUUCCGUAGGUGAACCUGCGGAAGGAUCAUUAACACAAGUAAAAAAACAUUUUACAACACCCUAUUAUGAAUUUAAAUUUUUUAAUUUUAAUUUUUUUUUUAUAAAACUACAAAAAAAUAUUUAAUUUAUUUGACUAACAUUUUUUUAAUUAAUUUAUUUAAAAUUUUAUAAAACAACUCUUAACAACGGAUAUCUUGGCUCUC